rnacentral:rRNA from 1 species
AGUCGAGCGCUCUCUUCGGAGGGAGCGGCGGACGGGUGAGUAACGCGUGGGAACGUGCCCUUCUCUAUGGAAUAGCCACUGGAAACGGUGAGUAAUACCAUAUACGCCCUUCGGGGGAAAGAUUUAUCGGAGAAGGAUCGGCCCGCGUUAGAUUAGGUAGUUGGUGGGGUAAUGGCCUACCAAGCCUACGAUCUAUAGCUGGUUUUAGAGGAUGAUCAGCCACACUGGGACUGAGACACGGCCCAGACUCCUACGGGAGGCAGCAGUGGGGAAUCUUAGACAAUGGGCGCAAGCCUGAUCUAGCCAUGCCGCGUGAGUGACGAAGGCCUUAGGGUCGUAAAGCUCUUUCGCUGGGGAAGAUAAUGACGGUACCCAGUAAAGAAACCCCGGCUAACUCCGUGCCAGCAGCCGCGGUAAUACGGAGGGGGUUAGCGUUGUUCGGAAUUACUGGGCGUAAAGCGCGCGUAGGCGGAUCAGAAAGUUGGGGGUGAAAUCCCAGGGCUCAACCCUGGAACUGCCUUCAAAACUCCUGGUCUUGAGUUCGAGAGAGGUGAGUGGAAUUCCGAGUGUAGAGGUGAAAUUCGUAGAUAUUCGGAGGAACACCAGUGGCGAAGGCGGCUCACUGGCUCGAUACUGACGCUGAAGUGCGAAAGUGUGGGGAGCAAACAGGAUUAGAUACCCUGGUAGAAGGGC